CCCGCUGAACUUAAGCAUAUCAUUAAGCGGAGGAAAAGAAACUAACAAGGAUGCCCUUAGUAACGGCGAGUGAAGUGGGCAAAGCUCAAACUGAAAAUCGGUGCUCCAUGCGGGGCUUCGAAUUGUAGUCUAUAGACGCGCUAGCAGCAUUGGCCCGGGUAUAAAUCUUUUGAAACAAGGUGUCAUAGAGGGUGAGAACCCCGUUCAUGACUCGGUGUCCGGUGCGUACGCGGCGUGUUCAAAGAGUCGGGUUGCUUGGGAUUGCAGCCCUAAGUGGGAGGUAAAUUUCUUCUAAAGCUAAAUAUUGGCGAGAGACCGAUAGCGAACAAGUACCGUGAGGGAAAGAUGAAAAGAACUUUGAAAAGAGAGUUAAAAAGUACUUGAAAUUGUUAAGAGGGAAGCACUGGAAACCAGUAUUGCUGAUCAUCCUUUUCGCCUAUCUGUGGGUCGGAGGUGGUGCGCCGGGAGUUCAAACCUCGGUUGUCCUAUCGAAGGCUCGCAGGUGGGUUCAGGGGUGGUUGGUGGGUCAAAAUCGAUUUGUUUCGCGGGAGAAAGCUAUCGGGAAGAUAGGAAACUGGGUCAAACCAGUGACUGUUAUAGCCUGAUAGUCCUACCGUGGGGCAGAUCGAGGAACAAAUGCGCACCACAAGGCUUCAGUUCCCUUUCCCUGGGGUGUCAUCUGCGCUGGAUAGCAAAGCUAUGCACGUGGAGAAGCGCUCUACUGGGAGGGAUGAACUAGAUGCAGCAUUCGAGAUUUUGACGAAAUGGUUUUCAUUGACCCGUCUUGAAACACGG
rnacentral:rRNA from 1 species